rnacentral:lncRNA from 1 species
GGCAGGGGAGGAGCUUUUCAUUUGGCUAUGUGAACUCCAGUCAGCUGAGAGUCAGAGCUGGAGAAAUGCUGCUUUUUCAGGUUGCCCAUGAGACACAGAAAAGAGGGCUGAGUUUCUGUCAUCUGGCAAGAAGAUCCAAUAAACAUGCUGUUUUUUUCUCCAAAGAACACAUGAGAUAAGUGAUGAAGAAAGAAUGCAAGUGUUGAAGCAAUAGCAAUAGCAACCAUGACCAGAAAACCUGCUAUAACUUCAGAAUUGUAGAUAUAAGGUCAUGAACUUACUAUCUUCCCAUGGAUUGACAGCCUAUCCUUGUUCUGCCUGGCUCACUAGAGGCAUGCAUCUCUCCAAGGAGCCAACAUCUUGAUUGACAAGGGGAUGAGACUACAAAAGCUGGGACCAUUUCUCUGAGAAAAAAGGAGGACUCAAGAAGAACUAUGUCUUGAGUGGGUGUGGAGUGAAGUGGGUGAUGAAUGCCACCUGGACCCAACCAGCCAGCCAAGUGCUGGGCUGCAGCCCAUGCAGCCCAUGCUCAGGGCUCUCCCUGGUAACUAUCUCCUUCAGGGCCGAGGCUUCACUUCAGCCCCUGGCCCUGUGUUCUGGCCCGGCACAUAAUGAUUCUGAGCUCUGGCAUUUCAAGAGUCUGUUUUUAAAAAAUGUGGCACUCUGAUCCAUCCACUGUUG